GAACGCAUCGAAAUUGAAAAAUCCAUACCAAAAGUAGACGAAAGGGAAAACGUAAAAGUAACCUCAGUCUCAGUGCGCAGUGAUGCAGUAAAACACAAGUCCAUCAUCUCAUCUGUCGUUCGCGUCUUGGCGGUGCGCUGCUACCGUGGAUUGUCUUUUCUUUUCUUCUCUCUCACAAUUGUAUUGUUGUGUCACUCUUUCGCUUUUUCCAUUACUGUUUCUUCAUUCACUAUCACACUCUACUUCUUUUUACUCCUUUUUCCCCCCCUUUUCUAA